UACGUAGGGUGCAAGCGUUGUCCGGAAUUAUUGGGCGUAAAGAGCUCGUAGGAGGUUUGUCGCGUCUGCUGUGAAAAUCCAGGGCUUAACCCUGGACCUGCAGUGGGUACGGGCAGACUAGAGUGCGGUAGGGGAGAUCGGAAUUCCUGGUGUAGCGGUGAAAUGCGCAGAUAUCAGGAGGAACACCGGUGGCGAAGGCGGAUCUCUGGGCCGUAACUGACGCUGAGGAGCGAAAGCUAGGGGAGCAAACAGG
rnacentral:rRNA from 1 species